CCUACGGGCUGCAGCAGUGAGGAAUAUUGGUCAAUGGACGAUAGUCUGAACCAGCCAAGUAGCGUGAAGGAUGACUGCCCUAUGGGUUGUAAACUUCUUUUAUAUGGGAAUAAAAUGCACUAUGUAUGGUACUUUGCAUGUACCUUAUGAAUAAGGAUCGGCUAACUCCGUGCCAGCAGCCGCGGUAAUACGGAGGAUCCGAGCGUUAUCCGGAUUUAUUGGGUUUAAAGGGAGCGUAGGUGGGUUGUUAAGUCAGUUGUGAAAGUUUGCGGAUCAACCGUAAAAUUGCAGUUGAAACUGGCAGUCUUGAGUACAGUAGAGGUAGGCGGAAUUCGUGGUGUAGCGGUGAAAUGCUUAGAUAUCACGAAGAACUCCGAUUGCGAAGGCAGCUCGCUGGACUGCAACUGACGCUGAGGCUCGAAAGUGUGGGUAUCAAACAGGAUUAGAUACCCCUGUAGUC
rnacentral:rRNA from 1 species